rnacentral:rRNA from 1 species
UUCGUAGGCGGUGCAGCAAGUCGGGAGUGAAAUCUCUGGGCUUAACCCAGAGGCUGCUUCCGAAACUGCUGUGCUGGAGUGAGGGAGAGGCGCGUGGAAUUGCAGGUGUAGCGGUGAAAUGCGUAGAUAUCUGCAGGAACACCCGUGGCGAAAGCGGCGCGCUGGACCACUACUGACGCUGAGGAACGAAAGCUAGGGGAGCAAACAGGAUUAGAUACCCUGGUAGUCCUAGCCCUAAACGAUCAGGACUUGGGGUGCCGCCCGUUCGGGCGUCGUCCCGGAGCUAACGCGUUAAGUCCUGCACCUGGGGAGUACGGUCGCAAGACUGAA